CCUACGGGAGGCAGCAGUCGAGAAUCAUUCACAAUGGGGGAAACCCUGAUGGUGCGACGCCGCGUGGGGGAAUGAAGGUCUUCGGAUUGUAAACCCCUGUCAUGUGGGAGCAAAUUAAAAAGAUAGUACCACAAGAGGAAGAGACGGCUAACUCUGUGCCAGCAGCCGCGGUAAUACAGAUGUCUCAAGCGUUGUUCGGGAUCACUGGGCGUAAAGCGUGCGUAGGCUGUUUCGUAAGUCGUGUGUGGAAAGCGCGGGCUCAACCCGCGGACGGCACAUGAUACUGCGAGACUAGAGGAAUGGAGGAGGAGGCGGAAUUCUCGGUGGAGCAGUGAAAUGCGUAGAUAACGAGAGGAACACUCGAGGCGAAGGCGGGUUCCUGGGCAUUAACUGACGCUGAGGCACGAAGGCCAGGGGAGCGAAAGGGAUUAGAUACCCGAGGUAGUC
rnacentral:rRNA from 1 species